rnacentral:rRNA from 1 species
CCCAGCAAUGGGAUGCGAAUCUCGAAAGCCUGUCUCAGUUCGGAUUGGAAGCUGAAACCCGCCUCCAUGAAGUUGGAUUCGCUAGUAAUCGCGCAUCAGCCAUGGCGCGGUGAAUACGUUCCCGGGCCUUGUACACACCGCCCGUCAAGCCAUGGGAGCCGGGGGUGCCUGAAGUUCGUGACCGCAAGGAGCGACCUAGGGCAAAACUGGUGACUGGGGCUAAGUCGUAACAAGGUAAC